rnacentral:rRNA from 1 species
GAUGAACGCUAGCGGCAGGCUUAAUACAUGCAAGUCGUGGGGCAGCAUGAGUAGCAAUACUUGAUGGCGACCGGCAAACGGGUGAGGAACACGUACACAACCUUCCUUCAAGCGGGGAAUAGCCCAGAGAAAUUUGGAUUAAUACCCCAUAAUAUAUUUGAUAAGGCAUCUUAUUAAUAUUAAAGCUUCGGCACUUGAUGAUGGGUGUGCGGCUGAUUAGAUAGUUGGCGGGUAACGGCCCACCAAGUCUACGAUCAGUAGCUGAUGUGAGAGCAUGAUCAGCCACACGGGCACUGAGACACGGGCCCGACUCCUACGGGAGGCAGCAGUAAGGAUAUUGGACAAUGGACGAAAGUCUGAUCCAGCCAUGCCGCGUGAAGGAUUAAGGUCCUCUGGA